CCCAUUUCCAGUUAACUGUGUCACACAAUUUAUACUGGGCAUGGAGUUCUCCUUCCCAGUUUUUUUAACCAGGAACUGAUCCUGGCCCAGCCCCAAGGUCGGGCUUGGAAUUUCUGACUCCCUCAGCCUCAGCCAGCCCUGGGACACAAACAAUUGAGGACAUGACAGGAAAAAGCUGCAGGAGAAGAUAAAUGCACAGGAAAUUUGCUGAAUACUGCAGCCACAAGCCAGAAAACACCCCAGGAUGAGACCUACAAAAAUCAGGAGGCAACGUGGAGAGGAGCAGGAGCUGAAGGCAGAGCAGGAUGUCUGGAGAACAUCAGGAGCAGAGGCUGGAGCAGAGAUGGACACAGAGGUGGACACCAGGGAGGGACACAGAGAUGGACCCCAGCCCUCCACCAGCAGGGACAAGGAACACCCAGCACUCACUGGUUUGGUGGAGGAGGAUGAAGAUGGUGAGACGAGCAAUCCAAAAUAUGUCCAUGGAUGUCCAGAAACAGAGAGGAUUUGGGGCAUCAGCACCCAAAAAUGAGCACCACAAAGAGGAAGAAGAAAAGUGCCUUGGUGGAGAGGAGGUGGCUUUAGACGUGGUUUGUGACAAAAAUGGAGCAACAAGGAAGAGCAAUUCAUACUCA